ensembl:lncRNA
CACCCUCCCCUCACCCUACCGUUUAAAACCUUUCCCUGAAAACCACUGAGUAAUUCAGGUCUUUUGGGCACUAGCUACAUGAACUUCUCGCCUGGCCUCUGCAGUGCACACGGAACUUUAUUUCAGUGCAACCUGGUGUCAGUAGAUUGCCCUUAUUGCCUACGGGCCAGGGGACCCAAGUUUGAUUCAGUAACAGUAACUGCAUAUUGUAGGACAAAGCAAAUGGGUAAAUUAUAGUGGAAUUACUGAGAAGAUGAUGCUUCAGCAUGAGAGAAAGAUGAAGGACUCUCCAUUCACUGAAAGAGAAACCAAUUCAGUACCAACAGUCCCCUCUAAUAUCAAGAUUGUGGCCUCUAUUAAGCUCCACAAAGCAACACAAAGAAAGAUGCAGAAUUAGUGAUCCCAGAGUGACCACGUUUCCAGCCCCUGCAAAGCUGGCUUGCUGAUGAUUGAAUGGCCUGCAGCCCAAGCCCCAUGUGGCAUACCUCGGUACCAGAAGCAGACAUCCUGCAGCAUCGUUUAAACUCUCUGCCCUGCUCCUUCUCCAAUGUGUCUGUUGCAGAAGUCAGGAGAGGGACAUUACAGACAGCUUCAACAGGGGGAGCAAGUGAGGACAGAAAGUGUUUCCUGAGCUCAGGGG